rnacentral:rRNA from 1 species
GAAGUGCGAAUGCUGACAUAAGUAACGAUAAAGCGGGUGAAAAGCCCGCUCGCCGGAAGACCAAGGGUUCCUGUCCAACGUUAAUCGGGGCAGGGUGAGUCGACCCCUAAGGCGAGGCCGAAAGGCGUAGUCGAUGGGAAACGGGUUAAUAUUCCCGUACUUGGUGUUACUGCGAAGGGGGGACGGAGAAGGCUAUGUUGGCCGGGCGACGGUUGUCCCGGUUUAAGCGUGUAGGUGUGUGUUCCAGGUAAAUCCGGUUCACUUUAACACUGAGGCGUGAUGACGAGGCACUACGGUGCUGAAGCAACAAAUGCCCUGCUUCCAGGAAAAGCCUCUAAGCAUCAGGUAACAUCAAAUCGUACCCCAAACCGACACAGGUGGUCAGGUAGAGAAUACCAAGGCGCUUGAGAGAACUCGGGUGAAGGAACUAGGCAAAAUGGUGCCGUAACUUCGGGAGAAGGCACGCUGACAC